UCUGAGGGCCUGGCCUUUGGCAGGCAGGGAGUGGGGGGCCCUGGGCUCCCAAGUUGUGAGAAGGAGGUCAGAGAGCAGAGAGGAGCCUGGGUGGGCUCUGAGACUGGAGGCAGUGACCUGCGAGGAAAGGGAGUGUGUCCUGGGCACCAAGCCAUGGCAUCUAGUUCAGGGCCCCUCUGCUUCCUCAGAACACCCCGUGGGGUCGCAUGAUCACCCACGUGACAGAUUCUGAAGACAACUCUGCCUUGUGUAGGGGAGGGAGGCCAUGUCAGGCUGCGCGUAGCAAGAACCACGGGGCCUUGAGUCUGAAGUCUGAGUUUGAGUAGAGCUGGGAUGAGUCACUUCCCUUCCCGAAUCCACUUCCCACACCUGAAGAAUGGAGACAUGGUACCCACUUCCCGGGGAAGUGUGUGAGGAUAGAGCAGGAACACGGGAAGGCUUGGUACUGGGAGGGUACGGAUUAUUUUUAUAAGCAAGGAGUGUGACAUCUAUUUUUAGAGGAGAAAGAAUUUCGUUACAAAGAACUCUCCUAGUCCCCUCCCAGAGUGGAUGGGCUGAGGUGCGGGGGAGCAGUAGGCCCGGAGGACUCCCUGAAGAGGUGGCCUGGGGAUUCCUGGCAGAGGGAACGGCCUGUGCAAAGGCCUGGAGACACGCGACUGAAGCGCGCCUAACAAUGGCUACCAUGGAUUCGUGGGCAGGCGCCUGUACACUCAAUCCUCACGGCAGCUCCAGGACACUGGAGUUAGUGCUCCUGUCUCACAGGAAAGGAAACGUUGGCUCAGAAAGAUAAGGAAACCGAAGCACAGAGAGGCAGGUCAUCUGGCUGAGGUCACACAGCCACACGGCGAGAGAGCAGUGAAGCUGGAGUUCCAGCAAGCUCCACCUGGCGAGAAUUCAAGCCCUGCCAUGGGCCACCUCUCUGGAGGAAGAGAAAGCCAGCUUCAGACUCUGCCUCUCUCAAUCCUUAUACAAGGCCAGAGAGCGCUUGAGGCUUCCAGGCACUCCUAUGCUUACACACCUUCCAUGGCUCCCAGCUGCCCUCCAGAUAAAGAACAAUCUCCUCAGUGUGGCCCUUGAGGUCCUGUGAUCUGGCCUCUGUCCACCACCAGGGCCCCCCUCCUGGCCAGAUCUCUGAGCCUCGGCCAAGCUGACCUGCUUCUCUCAGGGCCUCAACAGGGCCGAUCUCCAUCCCUGCUGUUCCCUUGGUCCAGCAUGCUGUUCCCCUCUAGUUGCUUCUCCUUACCCUGGGGGCCUCCACUCAAAUGCCACCUCCUCCACUGGCCGGACGCUGCCAUUAACCUGCUCGAGUGCUCUCCCUGCAAAACUCAGCACAGGCUGGGCACAGUGGCUCAUGCCUGUAAUCCCAGCACUUUGGGAGGCCGAGGUAGGAUGACUGUUCGAGCCCAGGAGUUCAAAACCAGCCUGGGCAACAAAGUGAGAUCCUGUCUCUAUUUUUUAAAAAAUUAGCCGGGCGCAGUGGAGCACAACUGUAGUCCCAGCUACUCAGGAGCUUAAGGCUAGGGGGUAGCUUGAGCCCAGGAGUUCGAGGCUGCAGUGAGCUGUGAUCACAUCACUGCACUCCCACCUGGGUAACAGAGCAAGACCCUGUCUCAAAAAAAAAAAAAAAAAAAAAAGACCCAUAGCACAAUUGUAAUCAUGUGGGUCAUUGUGGGGUGGUGAGUCACAGCUGGUGAGUGGCAGAAUCAAGACCAGGUCCAGGUGGUACAGCCACAGAGCUGGUGCCCCCAAGUACUCGGCUGCUCACACGGGCCCCAAGAGACCUCCUCACUGGCAAGAGGAAGCCACCUCCUCUCAGAAGAAUGAGCAGGGCUAGAGUACAGUGGCACAAUCACUUCUCACUGCAGUAGACAUGAACCACCGUCCCCUGUAACUACUGUUUAAGAAAGUAAAAAGAUGCAGAAGAAGUUAAUCUAAUAUUUUGUUUAACCCACUAUACUCCAAAUAUCAUUCCUACAUGUAAUCAAGAUAAAAAAAAUUAUUAAUGGCUGGGUGCCAUGGCUCACGCCUGUAAUCCCAGCAUUUUGAGAGGCCGAGGCAGGCGGAUCACCUAGGGUCAGGAGUUCAAGACCAGCCUGACCAACGUGGUGAAACCCUGUCUCUACUAAAAAUGCAAAAAUUAGCCAGGAUUGGUGGCGUGUGCCUGUAGUCCCAGCUACUCAAAAGGCUAAGACAGGAGAAUUGCUUGAUCUUAGGAGGCAGAGUCUACAGUGAGCCAAGAUUGCGCUGCUGCACUCUAGCCUGGGCAACAGAGCAAGACUCUGUCUAAAAAAAAAAAUAAUAAUAAAUAAAUAAUCAUUGAGAUAUCUUACUUUCUUCCAUACUAAGUCUUCAAAAUCCAGUGUGUAUUUCACACUUGUAACACAUCUCAGUUUGGAACAGCUGCAUUUCAACUGCUCAACAGCCACAUGUGGCCAGAGGCUACUGCACUGGGCAGCACAGUGCUAGACUAUAAACUCCAUGAGGGCAGGGACCAAGCCAUACCCACAAUUAUUAAAUCUAGCAUCUGACACAGAGUGGACACUCAAGAAAUGUUUGUUGACUGACUAGCUGAAUGAAAGAAUGAAUGAACAAAUGAAUGAAGGAAUGAACAAAUGAUCUAAGGCCUUCUCAGAUCUGAAGCCACACUCCCAGCACAGGCCAUGGGAAGGGCAUGGAGAUGAAUUCCAGCCCCACCUCUGCACCCACUUCUCUGAGUGACUGAAAGCAAGAUCUGACCCACAAGGUCCAUCCUGGCUGGACUGAGAGCUACGAGGCAGUGGAAAGAAUACUGCACUUGGGGUCAGACCAAGUGACCUAAUUUGAAGUCCCAGCUCUGGCUCGUGAUCUUGUGCAGACUCAUCUAACCCACACCUUCCCAUGCCACCCAGGCUGGGGUGAAGUGAGGAGCACAUGGGAUUAUGGCAGACUCAGCAGAUCCUUUCCUAGCCCAAAGCAGCUUUGAAGAGCCAUCGUGAGCCAAUGGGCGGAGCUAAUAGUCUCCUAUCCUCGACUUGCAGGGGGUGAGUACAGCUCUCCCAAGGGACUGGGAGGGGCCUCUCCAUCAUUCCUCACUCAGCUUCUUGUUUUUUUG
rnacentral:lncRNA from 10 species